rnacentral:rRNA from 1 species
AACGAACGCUGGCGGCAGGCUUAACACAUGCAAGUCGAGCGCCCCGCAGGGGAGCGGCAGACGGGUGAGUAACGCGUGGGAAUCUACCGUGCCCUACGGAAUAGCUCCGGGAAACUGGAAUUAAUACCGUAUACGCCCUACGGGGGAAAGAUUUAUCGGGGUAUGAUGAGCCCGCGUUGGAUUAGCUAGUUGGUGGGGUAAAGGCCUACCAAGGCGACGAUCCAUAGCUGGUCUGAGAGGAUGAUCAGCCACAUUGGGACUGAGACACGGCCCAAACUCCUACGGGAGGCAGCAGUGAGGAAUAUUGGACAAUGGGCGCAAGCCUGAUCCAGCCAUGCCGCGUGAGUGAUGAAGGUCUUAGGAUUGUAAAGCUCUUUCACCGGUGAAGAUAAUGACGGUAACCGGAGAAGAAGCCCCGGCUAACUUCGUGCCAGCAGCCGCGGUAA